CACGUAGGGCGCAAGCGUUGUCCGGAAUUAUUGGGCGUAAAGAGCUCGUAGGCGGUCUGUUACGUCUGCUGAGAAAACCCGGGGCUUAACCCUGGGCUUGCAGUGGAUACGGGCAGACUAGAGGCAGGUAGGGGAGAAUGGAAUUCCCGGUGUAGCGGUGAAAUGCGCAGAUAUCGGGAGGAACACCGGUGGCGAAGGCGGUUCUCUGGGCCUGACCUGACGCUGAGGAGCGAAAGCGUGGGGAGCGAACAGG
rnacentral:rRNA from 1 species